rnacentral:snRNA from 1 species
AGCGACCCCAGGUCAGGCGG